rnacentral:sRNA from 1 species
GACAGGGUUGAGAGCUUUACAGAGGAAGUGGACAGCAUGGAGGGAGGUGAGGAAAGGCCUGUAAAGAGGAGGAGACACUGGCUCUGGCGGAGUGCGGACUAUUGGAGGGUUAAGCGGAUGUGGCUAAGGCUGAGUCAUCUAGGAGUAAACAAGAGGCCUUCCUUUGGGAGGAGCCAAUCCAGGGUGUAGGGGGCCCAGAGUGACCAGGUGCACUAGGCAAAAAAUGCCAGGAGAGGGCCAGGAAGAGGCCUUGUUAGUAGCGACUCACUUCUGGGCAGGCAGGCCAGCCAGCUAGCCAGCCUACUGAGGCUUCCCAAGAGGGGCAGAGUGCUGGGAUCUGGGAAUCCAGGAAAGGAGGGAAUGGGGUGGGGCUAGAUGAAAAGGGAUAGGUGUCCAGGGAGAGCCUCUGGCUAUUCCUGGGACCAGGAAGUUUUCACUAGGAUACAUAGCACUUUUUACACACUCACCCCACCCAUCCCUGACUUUCUAUUCAUGGAGCAACCUCUCUCUACAAUCCCCCCAGAUCUUCGCAAAUACUGUGGACAAUGCCCGCAUCGUUCUGCAGAUUGACAAUGCCCGUCUUGCUGCUGAUGACUUUAGAGUCAAGUAUGAGACAGAGCUGGCCAUGCGCCAGUCUGUGGAGAACGACAUCCACGGGCUCCGCAAGGUCAUUGAUGACACCAAUGUCACUCGACUGCAGCUGGAGACAGAGAUCGAGGCUCUCAAGGAGGAGCUGCUCUUUAUGAAGAAGAACCACGAAGAGGAAGUAAAAGGCCUUCAAGCCCAGAUUGCCAGCUCUGGGUUGACCGUGGAGGUAGAUGCCCCCAAAUCUCAGGACCUCGCCAAGAUCAUGGCAGACAUCCGGGCCCAAUAUGACGAGCUGGCUCGGAAGAACCGAGAGGAGCUAGACAAGUACUGGUCUCAGCAG